rnacentral:rRNA from 1 species
UACGUAGGGUGCAAGCGUUGUCCGGAAUUAUUAGGCGUAAAGAGCUCGUAGGCGGUCUGUCGCGUCGGCUGUGAAAACCCGGGGCUCAACCCCGGGCCUGCAGUCGAUACGGGCAGACUAGAGUGCGGUAGGGGAGACUGGAAUUCCUGGUGUAGCGGUGAAAUGCGCAGAUAUCAGGAGGAACACCGGUGGCGAAGGCGGGUCUCUGGGCCGUAACUGACGCUGAGGAGCGAAAGCGUGGGGAGCGAACAGG